UACGAAGGGGGGCGAGCGUUGUUCGGAUUUACUGGGCGUAAAGGGCGCGCAGGCGGCUCAUUUUGUCAGGCGUGAAAGCCCCGGGCUAACCUGGGAACUGCGUUUGAUACGGAUGGGCUAGAGUUCGGGAGAGGAGAGUGGAAUUCCCAGUGUAGAGGUGAAAUUCGUAGAUAUUGGGAAGAACACCGGUGGCGAAGGCGGCUCUCUGGACCGUAACUGACGCUGAGACACGAAAGCGUGGGUAGCAAACAGG
rnacentral:rRNA from 1 species